rnacentral:rRNA from 1 species
GACGAACGCUGACGGCGUGCUUAACACAUGCAAGUCGAACGGUGAAGCGCCUUCCUUUUUGGUGGGUGUGGAUGAGUGGCGAACGGGUGAGUAACACGUGAGUAACCUGCCCCCUUCUUCUGGAUAACCGCAUGAAAGUGUGGCUAAUACGGGAUAUUCUGGGUCUGUCGCAUGAUGGGUCUGGGAAAGAUAUUGUUUCGGUGGGGGAUGGGCUCGCGGCCUAUCAGCUUGUUGGUGGGGUGAUGGCCUACCAAGGCGGUGACGGGUAGCCGGCCUGAGAGGGUGGACGGUCACACUGGGACUGAGACACGGCCCAGACUCCUACGAGAGGCAGCAGUGGGGAAUAUUGCACAAUGGGCGCAAGCCUGAUGCAGCGACGCCGCGUGAGGGAUGGAGGCCUUCGGGUUGUGAACCUCUUUCGCCAGUGAAGCAGGCCUGCCUCGUUUGUGGGUGGGUUGACGGUAGCUGGAUAAGAAGCGCCGGCUAACUACGUG